ensembl:lncRNA
CCUCUCUUUAUAUCUCCAUCUCUUUAUCUCUCUCUCCCUCUCUUUAUAACUCUCUCCCUCUCUUUAUCUUUCUCUCCCUCUCUUUAUAUCUCUCCCCCUCUCUUUAUAUCUCUCUCUCUCUUCAUAUCUCUCUCCCUCUCUUUAUAUCUCUAUCCCGCUCUUAUUAUCUCCCUCUCUUCAUCUCUCUCCCUCUCUUUAUGUCUCUGUCCCUCUCCUUAUAUCUCUCUCCCUCUCUUUAUCUCUCUGUCCCUCUCCUUAUAUCUCUCUCCCUCUCUUUAUCUCUCUCUCCCACUCUUUAUAUCUCUCUCCCUCUCUUUAUAUCUCUCUCCCUCUCCUUAUAUCUCUCUCCCUCUCUUUACAUCUCCCUCUCUUUAUAUCUCUCUCCCUCUCUUUAUAUCUCUGUCCCUCUCCUUAUAUCUCUCACCCUCUCUUUAUCUCUCUCUCCCACUCUUUAUAUCUCUCCCUCUCUUUAUAUCUCUCUCCCUCUCUUCAUCUCUCUCCCUCUCUUCAUAUCUCUCUCCCUCUAUAUCUCCCUCCCUCUUUUUAUAUCCCUCUCCCUCUCUUCAUAUCUCUCUCCCUCUCUUUAUAUCCCCCUCUCUUUAUAUCUCUCUCUCUCUUUAACUCUCUCUCCCUCUCUUCAUAUCUCUCUCCCUCUCUUCAUAUCUCUCUCCCUCUCUUUAUAUCUCUAUCCCUCUCUUUAUAUCUCCCUCUCUUUAUGUCUCUCUCUCUUUAUAUCUCUCUCCCUCCAUCUCUCUCCCUCUCUUUAUAUCUCUAUCCCUCUCUUUAUCUCUCUCCAACUCUUCAUCUCUCUCCCUCUCUUUAUAUCUCCCUCCCUCUCUUUAUAUCUCUAUCCCUCUCUUUUUAUCCCCCUCUCUUUAUAUCUCUCUCCCUCUCUUCAUCUCUCUCCCUCUCUUUAUAUCUCUAUCCCUCUCUUUAUAUCUCCCUCUCUUCAUCUCUCUCCCUCCCUUUAUAUCUCCCUCCCUCUCUUUAUAUCUCUAUCCCUCUCUUUAUAUCUCCCUCUCUUCAUCUCUCUCCCUCCCUUUAUAUCUCUCUCUCUCUUUAUAUCUCUCUCCCUCUAUUUAUAUCUCUAUCCCUCUCUUUAUAUCUCCCUCUCUUCAUCUCUCUCCCUCUCUUUAUAUCUCUCUCCUUCUCUUUACCUCCCUCUCUUUAUCUCUCUCUCCCUCUCUUUAUAUCUCCCUCUCUUUAUCUCUCUCUCCCUCUCUUUAUAUCUCUUUAUCUCUCUCUCCCUCUCUUUAUAUCUCUCUCCCUCUCUUUAUCUUUCUCUCCCUCUCUUUAUAUCUCCCUCUCUUUAUAUAUCUGUCCCUCUCCUUAUAUCUCUCUCCCUCUCUUUAUCUCUCUCUCCCACUCUUUAUAUCUCUCUCCCUCUCUUUAUAUCUCUCUCCCUCUCCUUAUAUCUCUCUCCCUCUCUUUACAUCUCCCUCUCUUUAUAUCUCUCUCCCUCUCUUUAUAUCUCCCUCUCUUUAUAUCUCCCUCUCUUUAUCUCUCUCUCCCUCUCUUUCUCUCUCUCCCUCUCUACAUAUCUCUCUCCCUCUCUUUAUAUCCCCCUCUCUUUAUAUAUCUCUCUCUCUUUAUAUCUCUCCCCCUCUCUUUAUAUCUCUCUCACUCUCUUCAUCUCUCUCCCUCUCUUUAUAUCUCUCUCCUUCUCUUUAUCUCCCUCUCUUGAUAGCUCCCUCUCUUUAUCUCUCUCUCCCUCUCUUUAUAUCUCCCUCUCUUUAUCUCUCUCUCCCUCUCUUUAUCUCUCUCUCCCUCUCUUUAUAUCUCCCUCUCUUUAUCUCUCUCUCCCUCUCUUUAUAUCUCCCUAUCUUUAUCUCUGUCUCCCUCUCUUUAUAUCUCUCUCCCUCUCUUUAUAUCUCCCUCUCUUUAUAUCUCCCUCUCUUUAUAUCUCUGUCCCUCUCCUUAUAUCUCUCUCCCUCUCUUUAUCUCUCUCUCCCACUCUUUAUAUCUCUCUCCCUCUCUUUAUAUCUUUCUCCCUCUCUUCAUCUCUUUCCCUCUCUUCAUUUCUCUCUCCCUCUCUUUAUAUCUCCCUCCCUCUUUUAUAUCUCUCUCCCUCUCUUCACAUCUCUCUCCCUCUCUUUAUAUCCCCCUCUCUUUAUAUAUCUCUCUCUCUCUUUAUCGCUCUCUCCCUCUCUACAUAUCUCUCUCCCUCUCUUUAUAUCCCCCUCUCUUUAUAUCUCUCUCUCUCUUUAUAUCUCUCCCCCUCUCUUUAUAUCUCUCUCACUCUCUUCAUAUCUCUCUCCCUUUCUUUAUAUCUCUAUCCCGCUCUUAUUAUCUCCCUCUCUUCAUCUCUCUCCCUCUCUUUAUGUCUCUGUCCCUCUCCUUAUAUCUCUCUCCCUCUCUUUAUCUCUCUCUCCCACUCCUUAUAUCUCUCUCCCUCUCUUUACAUCUCCCUCUCUUUAUAUCUCUCCCCCUCUCUUUAUAUCUCUCUCACUCUCUUCAUAUCUCUCUCCCUCUCUUUAUAUCUCUAUCCCUCUCUUAUUAUCUCCCUCUCUUCAUCUCUCUCCCUCUCUUUAUAUCUCCCUCCCUCUCUUUAUAUCUCUCUCCUUCUCUUUAUCUCCCUCUCUUUAUAGCUCCCUCUCUUUAUCUCUCUCUCCUUCUCUUUAUAUCUCCCUCUCUUUAUAUCUCCCUCUCUUUAUCUCGCUCUCCCUCUCUUUAUAUCUCCCUCUCUUUAUCUCUCUCUCCCUCUCUUUAUAUCUCCCUCUCUUUAUCUCUCUCUCCAUCUCUUUAUAUCUCUCUCCCUCUCUUUAUCUUUCUCUCCCUCUCUUUAUAUCUCCCUCUCUUCAUCUCUCUCCCUCUCUUUAUAUCUCUCUCCUUCUCUUUAUCUCCCUCUCUUUAUAUCUCCCUCUCUUUAUCUCUCUCUCCCUCUCUUUAUAUCUCCCUCUCUUUAUCUCUCUCUCCCUCUCUUUAAAUCUCCAUCUCUUUAUCUCUCUCUCCCUCUCUUUAUAUCUCUCUCCCUCUCUUUAUCUUUCUCUCCCUCUCUUUAUAUCUCUGUCCCUCUCCUUAUAUCUCUCUCCCUCUUUUUAUGUCUCUCUCCCACUCUUUAUAUCUCUCUCCCUCUCUUUAUAUCUCUCUCCCUCUCCUUAUAUCUCUCUCCCUCUCUUUAUAUCUCUCUCCCUCUCUUUAUCUUUCUCUCCCUCUCUUUAUAUCUCUGUCCCUCUCCUUAUAUCUCUCUCCCUCUUUUUAUGUCUCUCUCCCACUCUUUAUAUCUCUCUCCCUCUCUUUAUAUCUCUCUCCCUCUCUUCAUCUCUCUCCCUCUCUUCAUAUCUCUCUCCCUCUCUUUAUAUCUCCCUCCCUCUUUUUAUAUCCCUCUCCCUCUCUUCAUAUCUCUCUCCCUCUCUUUAUAUCCCCCUCUCUUUAUAUAUCUCUCUCUCUUUAACUCUCUCUCCCUCUCUUCAUAUCUCUCUCCCUCUCUUUAUAUCUCUAUCCCUCUCUUUAUAUCUCCCUCUCUUUAUGUCUCUCUCUCUUUAUAUCUCUCUCCCUCUCUUCAUCUCUCUCCCUCUCUUUAUAUCUCUAUCCCUCUCUUUAUAUCUCUCUCCAACUCUUCAUCUCUCUCCCUCUCUUUAUAUCUCCCUCCCUCUCUUUAUAUCUCUAUCCCUCUCUUUUUAUCCCCCUCUCUUUAUAUCUCUCUCCCUCUCUUCAUCUCUCUCCCUCUCUUUAUAUCUCCCUCUCUUCAUCUCUCUCCCUCCCUUUAUAUCUCCCUCCCUCUCUUUAUAUCUCUAUCACUCUCUUUAUAUCUCCCUCUCUUCAUCUCUCUCCCUCCCUUUAUAUCUCUCUCCUUCUCUUUAUCUCCCUCUCUUUAUAUCUCCCUCUCUUUAUCUCUCUCUCCCUCUCUUUAUAUCUCCCUCUCUUUAUCUCUCUCUCCCUCUCUUUAUAUCUCCAUCUCUUUAUCUCUCUCUCCCUCUCUUUAUCUCUCUCUCCCUCUCUUUAUAUCUCCCUCUCUUUAUAUAUCUGUCCCUCUCCUUAUAUCUCUCUCCCUCUCUUUAUCUCUCUCUCCCACUCUUUGUUUCUCUCUCCCUCUCUUUAUAUCUCUCUCCCUCUCCUUAUAUCUCUCUCCCUCUCUUUACAUCUCCCUCUCUUUAUAUCUAUCUCCCUCUCUUUAUAUCUCCCUCUCUUUAUCUCUCUCUCCCUCUCUUUAUCUCUCUCUCCCUCUCUUUACAUCUCCCUCUCUUUAUAUCUCUCUCCCUCUCUUUAUAUCUCUCUCCCUCUCUUUAUAUCUCUCUCUCUCUCUUUAUAUCUCUCUCCCUUUUUAUAUCUCUCUCUCUUUAUAUCUCUCUCCCUCUCUUUAUAUCUCUCUCCCUCUCUUUAUAUCUCUCUCUCUCUCUUUAUCUCUCUCCCUCUCUUUAUAUCUCUCUCCCUCUCUUUAUAUCUCUCUCCCUCUCUUUAUAUCUCUCUCCCUCUCCUUAUAUCUCUCUCCCAGUCUUUACAUCUCCCUCGCUUUAUAUCUCUCUCCCUCUCUUUACAUCUCCCUCUUUAUAUCUCUCUCCCUCUCUUUAUAUCUCCCUCUCCUUAUAUCUCUCUCCCUCUCUUUAUCUCUCUCUCCCUCUCUUUAUCUCUCUCUCUCUCUCUCCUUAUAUCUCUCUCCCUCUCUUUAUCUCUCUCUCUCUCUCUUUGUAUCUCUCUCCCUCUCCUUAUAUAUCUCUUCCUCUCUUUAUCUCUCUCCCUCUCUUUAUAUCUCCCUCUCUUUUUCUCUCUCCCUCUCACUCUUUAUAUCUCUGUCUCUUAUUCCUUUUCUCUCGCACCCUUCUCUCUUUUUCUCUCCUCCCUCCCUCGGUCCUCUCUCUCUCUAAUCACCAGCGAGCGAGGGGAAAAUAUCCUUGGGUCAUUAGCAGCAUUUCAAAGUCACAGUGUCCUCCAGCAUAUGCUGUUUGACAGGCCCUGCCAAAAGAAUUAGAGUGAGGAAUGAUGGUGCCAUUAUUAGAUGUGGAGCUCAGGGAAGAGUGCUUGAUCCAAGGGAUGGUGGGUUUGGGAGAAGGAGAGGAGCGUAUUUAGUAUUUAAUAGGAUCCCCAUUAGUUCCUACCAAGGCAGCAGCUACUCUUCCUGGGGUGCAAACAGGUAUGAAACAAUUCCAUCACAAAAUGUACAAUAAUAGAAUAUUACAAUGUAUGUGUGUGUAGAGUGUGUGUGUAGAGUGUGUGUAGAGUGUGUGUAGAGUGUAGAGUGUGUGUGUGUAGAGUGUGUGUGUACAGUGUGUGUGUAUAGUGUGUGUGUACAGUGUGUGUGUAUAGUGUGUGUGUAGAGUGUGUGUGUAUAGUGUGUGUGUAGAGUGUGUGUGUAGAGUGCGUGUGUAAAGUGUGUGUGUUGUGUGUGUGUGUAGAGUGUGUGUGUGUAGAGUGUGUGUGUAGUGUGUGUGUAGAAUGUGUGUGUAGAGUGUGUGUGUAGUGUGUGUGUGUAGUAGUGUGUGUGUAGAGUGUGUGUGUAGAGUGUGUGUAGAGUGUGUGUGUAGAGUGUGUGUGUGUAGAGUGUGUGUGUAGUGUGUAGAGUGUGUGUGUAAAGUGUGUGUGUGUAAAGUGCGUAUGUAGAGUGCGUGUGUAGAGUGUGUGUGUAUAGUGUGUGUAGAGUGUGUGUAGAGUGUGUGUGUAAAGUGCGUAUGUAGAGUGCGUAUGUAGAGUGCGUGUGUAGAGUGUGUGUGUAGAGUGUGUGUAGAGUGUGUGUAAAGUGUGUGUGUGUGUAAAGUGCGUAUGUAGAGUGCGUGUGUAGAGUGUGUGUGUAUAGUGUGUGUAGAGUGUGUGUAGAGUGUGUGUGUAAAGUGCGUAUGUAGAGUGCGUAUGUAGAGUGCGUGUGUAGAGUGUGUG